CUUCGGAACUCCUGCAAAGCGCUGGGAAUGCAAGCCUGUGACGAACGUAGUUGCCUGCAGGUCACAAAAAAAGAACUGGAUUGCCAAUCAAUGGACCCACUUGUCUGAAAAGGUGUGAUCACCAGAAGCCCUUCUGGAGUCCGCCAGCGGUCCUAGUGGGGGGUUAGGAAUGCCAUUCUCAAGGAUAAGGAUACACGAGGAGACAAGCCCCUCCACCAAUCAGGCGUGAAAUUACUCCAGUUGCCAUCUGCGUGAAAUGCCAGCCAAGAGCAGGGAUUCGUUUCAAGUGCUAUGACGAGACUAAACACACGCAUUUGUCUACCGUUACACACCAGUGAGUCGGAGAAGGCCUCCAUGAAGAUCUGACACCCCGCGCCUUAGCCCCCGAGGGAUCACUUGAUACAGGAGCAAUAUGGUGGCAGCAGUACCCUGGGUCCCCUGAGGUGAGGCACACGGCGAGGAAUAUCGCCAGCAGCGGUACACAGAACAAUGGUGCCAGAGCACAGAGACCAUCGGAAGUUGUGGAGCAGUCAAUGGCCCAAAAGAAGAGAUGCCUGGUACCUUUGGAGGAGCUGGACUCAGCUACAGAUGUUUGUGGAGCCACAUGGGAGUUGAGAACUGAACCUGGAUCCUCCAGAAGAUCUCUUUAGACCCAUGGGCUACUUUUCCAGGCCCUAGUAAGAAAUCUUAUUAUUUCAGAUUAAAUUUCCUAUAGCCCCCAAAGCCUUUUUCCCUCUGGAAACAACUGUGUUUAAAAAAAAAAAAAUCAAGCCGGGCGGUGGUGGCGCACGCCUUUAAUCCCAGCACUCGGGAGGCAGAGGCAGGCGGAUCUCUGUGAGUUCGAGGCCAGCCUGGUCUACAAGAGCUAGUUCCAGGACAGGAACCAAAAAGCU